rnacentral:tRNA from 1 species
AGUAAAUUGGCAGACAACUAUGCGCUUGACUUAGGAUCAAAAUACAGGAAUUUAACCUAUUUACUA